rnacentral:lncRNA from 1 species
GCCGGCGGCGCGCGCCGACGGCAGGGUCCGGCAGGGACAACGCCGGGGGAUAGGUCUCGGCCAGAGGAUGUGUAAUAUACCGAAUUUUUAAUAUAAAAGUAAGUGUAAAUAAAAAUAGUAUGAGAUACUAUUUUUAUUUGACUUAAAGAAGUAAAAUAUAAGUCGGAAGUGACUUAUACUGAAAUUGGAAUGAAAAUAGAAGAUUUAGAAUUUUCUGUAAGAAACGGGGCUGAUAUUUUAGCAGAAAAUUCACAGUGUCAAAAAUUAUGAAAAUUUGAGAGUAUGUCGGAAUUAUUUUUAUGAAACUAGAUUUAAAGUUUCAUAUUAUUCCGGCACCCGAAAAGUGAAAAAUAAAAUCUGACUGCUAUCUGCUAGAGAUUUCAGUCGGUAGAGCUUUCGGUGACCAAAAAUGGUUCAAAACUGAGAAGUUAAGAUUUCGUUCCUCUUGUUAAGUUAAACCGAGCCUGACUGUCAAAUUUGAGAGCAAACGGACGUUUAGAAGGGCUCCGGUGAAAAACGUUAGUUUUUGAACUGCUAAACUAAAAAUAAG